AAACCUGAGAAACCCAAAAGAUCGAAUGGGGAGAUUCAUCGUCAGCGGUGUUAGCUUCCGUGUGGAUCGCGAUGGCCGGGACCUAGGUUCCGCGUCACGCGUCCGCUGCGGUAUGUCCGACAUCGUCGGCGUGCACUUCUCCCCUAGUAGGACGUCGCGACCCGUUGGGUGCCGGCCUACGGCCCGGUUGGUCGACUGUCGCGUCGCGUUUACGCGUGCACGCGGCAGACCACUGGUUGCCCGGCCGGCUGCCCGGCGGUAUAGAUCGCUAUAAAACGGUAUUGGGCCGCAUUAAGUGCGUUCUGGCUCGUCGGCAGGCUCGUCUCGCUCGGAUUUACGGACCUAGUGCCGUUGCCGGGCGCUUGGCGUGGCCGUUAGUCGACGAUGUCCUCGGACUGGCUCUUACAUUCGAACGGAUUUACCGGUCAGCGACGCUACUGCUUUGGGUACUUU
rnacentral:rRNA from 1 species